AAGGCCAUAACCGAUCACCACAAGACAAUAAUAAACACUUUAUUAUUAUUAUUAUUAAUUCCUUUAAUUAAUUAAAAUCAAAUUAAAUUUCGACGACCGAUCAUCACAUUUUAAUGAACAAUUCAUUUAAAAUCGAUGUCGCUUUUCGUAUCAACACUUGACACUUUUAAAGCACUGAGUUAGCCGAAUGGGCGAAAAUUUCCUUGCGUUAACCGGUUAACCAUAUGCGUUAACCGGUUAACACUGUUUUG
rnacentral:lncRNA from 1 species